rnacentral:rRNA from 1 species
GGGGAUAUUGCACAAUGGAGGAAACUCUGAUGCAGCGACGCCGCGUGAGGGAAGACGGUCUUCGGAUUGUAAACCUCUGUCUUUGGGGAAGAAAAUGACGGUACCCAAAGAGGAAGCUCCGGCUAACUACGUGCCAGCAGCCGCGGUAAUACGUAGGGAGCGAGCGUUGUCCGGAAUUACUGGGUGUAAAGGGAGCGUAGGCGGGCGAGAAAGUUGAAUGUUAAAUCUACCGGCUUAACUGGUAGCUGCGUUCAAAACUUCUUGUCUUGAGUGAAGUAGAGGCAGGCGGAAUUCCUAGUGUAGCGGUGAAAUGCGUAGAUAUUAGGAGGAACACCAGUGGCGAAGGCGGCCUGCUGGGCUUUAACUGACGCUGAGGCUCGAAAGCGUGGGGAGCAAACAGA